rnacentral:rRNA from 1 species
AUUGAACGCUGGCGGCAGGCCUAACACAUGCAAGUCGAGCGAGCGGCGGACGGGUGAGUAAUGUAUGGGGAACUGCCCGAUGGAGGGGGAUAACUACUGGAAACGGUGGCUAAUACCGCAUACUAUCGGAUGUACCCAGAUGGGAUUAGCUAGUAGGUGGGGUAAAGGCUCACCUAGGCGACGAUCUCUAGCUGGUCUGAGAGGAUGAUCAGCCACACUGGAACUGAGACACGGCCCAGACGCCUACGGGAGGCAUCAGUGGGGAAUAUUGCACAAUGGGCUGAAGCCUGAUGCAGCCAUGCCGCGUGUAUGAAGAAGGCCUUCGGGUUGUAAAGUACUUUCAGCGGGGAGGCGUUACCCGCAGAAGAAGCACCGGCUAACUCCGUGCCAGCAGCCGCGGUAAUUC